UUAUAUUUAAAAAAAAGUCUUAUUUAUUUUGAGAGAGAGCACGCGCGCACACAUGCCCUGGGGAGGUGCAGAGAGAGGGAGAGAGAAUCCUAAGCAGGCUCCGCACUGUCAGUGUGGAGUCCGAUGCAGGGCUUGAACUCACAAACCGUGAAAUCAUGACCUGUACUGAACUCCAAGAGUCGGUCACUUAACUGACUGAGCCACGCAGGUGCCCCUCAGAUUUCAUUUUUUAAAAUUUAAUCUCUACCCUCAACAUGGGGCUCAAACUCACGACACUGGGAUCAGGAGUCGGAUGUGCUACCCACUGGGCCAGCCAGGCACCACUGCCUCAUUUCGUUUUUGCAACAGCCCUCGUGGUGGGGGCUCUGUGAUUAGCCCAGUUUUACAGACGGGAGAUCGGAGGCUCAGAAAGGUUAAGGACUAAGCCACACGGCUCAUAAAUGGAGCCGGGAUACAGGCCUGCUGUUAGGAGUCAGUGGAAUAAUGUCUGUUUCCCCGAGGGCUUCCGUUCCGUGAGGGUGGAACCUGCGUCUGUCUUUUCCUCACCACAGCCCCAGUACUCAGAACAGUACCUGGCGCACUGGAGGGCCUUGCUACUUUCUUCACCUGUAAAACGGAGAACAAAUGGCACACACUUCACAAGGCUGUUUUGAGCGCCACAGUUAUAAUUCCGUUGUGGAAAGUUUUCGUCUGAAGGGCUCGGAAUUGUUUGGCAGUAAGUAAGCGCUCACUGAUGGCUCUCAACUGUCAUCACAGAGAAGAAGUCAGGAAGGAUCCGCAUUAAAUGACGUCAUUAUCUUGGGCGGUGACGGUGGAUCAUGGAGGAUAGUAAGUCUUGUGAGUUCAGAUGUUUCAGAUGAUCGGGCAUAAUCCGGAAAAAUUACUGUUAAUAUCUUUCCUUUUUAAAUUUUUUUUUUUAACGUUUAUUUAUUUUUGAGAGGAGACAGGCAGAGCAUGAGCGGGGGAGGAGAGAGAGAGAGGGAGACGCAGAAUCUGAAACAGGCUCCAGGCUCUGAGCUGUCAGCACAGAGCCCGACGCGGGGCUCGAACUCACGGACCGCGAGAUCGUGACCUGAGCCGAAGUCGGCCGCUUAACUGACAGAGCCAGCCGGGCACCCCCCACAGUUUGUGAUUUCGAGUCACACAAGCCCCGCGCUUCGGGUAAAAUGCGAGCUCUGGGUGAGCCCUGCUUCUCUCUCUCAAUCUUCCCGCCCCUUGUCACUUGCCCCCCGACCCCCAAAAAAGUGCAUGGUACAAAAUUCUAAAGCAAAAAGCAAAGAAAAGGCAAUAUAGAUAAGUCCCCCUCCCACACCAUCCCUCAGCCACCCAGGUGUCCUAUCUCCCCAUACCCACAAUUGCUGUCUGGUGUGUUUUUCCGGAAUUGGGGAGGGGGGGUGUCUAUGUAGAUAUAAUCAAAUACAUAUUUCUAACCAUUUUAUUUUACAUGGGUGGAAGUGAAGGAAACCAGAAUAUGUCAGCCCAAAAUAUGCCUCUUUGACUUAAAAGUAUUUUGAGCUGAAGGCAGUUAAGAAGCAGCAAGCCCAGGAAAAAAAGCUCCCUCUUUUCUGCCUAAAGGCAGGGUAUGAAUUCUUCUUUUAUUGGAGACAGACAUAAAUCUAGAGAUGACACCAGAGGAAUUUGCAAACCUUCCUCCAUUCCCUCUCAUAUAUUUACCUUUCCACAGCCUUCUGCCCUCAGAAGCCUUGAGCCAUUUCCCUUUGCCUUGUCAUUUCUUGGCAAAUUUAUUGUUCCUUGUUGAAGAUGCUAUCUAAGCUGGAAUUCUAAGCUGCCAUUUUGGGUUACUUUUCAUUAGGUUUCCCCGUGUAAUGUGUGCUGCGUGACUUAAUAAAAGUUUUUUCUCUUGUUAGUCUAA